rnacentral:rRNA from 1 species
CUGACGAGCGGCGGACGGGUGAGUAAUGCAUAGGAAACUGCCCAGUAUGGGGGAUAGCCCGGGGAAACCCGGAUUAAUACCGCGUACGCCUUCGGGGAAAGCAGGGGAUCUUCGGACCUUGCGCUAUUGGAUGUGCCUAUGUCGGAUUAGCUAGUUGGUGGGGUAAAGGCCUACCAAGGCGACGAUCCGUAGCUGGUCUGAGAGGAUGAUCAGCCACAUCGGGACUGAGACACGGCCCGA